GCAGAUAUGGCCGAGUGGUUAAGGCGAUGGUCUUAAGAAAGUCUCUUAAGUUCACCAUUAUCGAAAGAUGCAAGGGUUCGAACCCCUUUGUCUGCA
rnacentral:tRNA from 1 species